UUGUGCUCAGGGAAACAUUCACCUGCCAUCAGACCCACGACCAGAAGACAGAUCAGUGGGAUCUAGACAAAGUGACAGCAAAAGGAAGAGCGGACGCUGCGAGCCACAAACUUUUUUCUUUGCACCUGCUGGAAUUUAAAGGAGUAGACAUCAAGACACAAGGUCAUAGGAAAGUCUGGACGCUGAUGCAGCGAUGAGUCAGUCAGGGUCUACUGGAAGCAAGCAUGGAUCCUCCAAUGGAGGACCAAGCAAAAUGAGUGCAAAAGAUUUGUUUGAACAGAGGAAAAAAUACUCCAACUCAAAUGUCAUCAAGCACGAAACAUCUCAGUACAAUGUGGAG